UCACCAUUAUCAAUGAGAGUAACACCAUUGAUGCCCAAACCAUGUGAACGAAUUUCUUCAUGGGCUUGCAGUGUUUGACAAGGAUCUCAGAAAAGGCAUCCUUCACUAAUUGACAUUCCACCAGGUUCUCCAUGCCUGGGCGAAGUGCGCGCUGCAACCUCAGAAUUCCAGAGACUGCAAAAGGGAAAAUCACAUGUUCGGUGAGAACUACACUUGAUAUUGAAGCUCUAAUUUAUGCCUUUUCCUAACACGUCGAGUAUUGGUUUUUCUAUUGUUCUUGCUCAUUGUCAAUGAAAUUUAAGACACAUAUAUAACAGAAUUGGUUCUAAUUCAAGUACAAGAAUCAGUUAUUCGGAGUUGAUAAAAGGUAUGCUGAAGUAAAACUACACAUACUUGAUAGAGCAAUCACUGCAGCCAGGUUCAGGGUAACAGUCAUAGUGGUUACUAUGAAACUGCAGUUUAAAAAAAAUCUCAUUAGCUAUAUUCAGGACUAAAAGGUGACACCAACAAAACAAUAUGCCUUCAUUGAGUACUUGUCUUUGGUUCUUUAGUGUUCAAAAUUUAUUGUAGAAAAUAGCAACCAUAUGAAUUGCUGUGAAGAAAGGGAGAAGUCUUACACUAUCUUUAGACCUUUGUCAAUUUUAUGUCUAUUCUUCUUAGCCUGCCUGUAAAUAUCUGCAGCUUCAAGAUCAAGUUCCUGGGAUGUGGAGGUAAGGAAGACUUCAGCUUCAUUGUUUAUACCAGAAGCUUCUAAGUUAUCUCUAACAACUUUCAUUGCUCCAGUUGUGUUGUAAAUGGUUUCCGAUGCUUCAUUCGCUGUGUUUAUGACAAUGUCCACUACUGUUUUUGCUUCUGAAUGGAAUCUAGCAUUCCCUCCAAGUACUACACCAGAUGUCACUCUGCAGAUCGAAAUUAACUUUUGUUACAGUUUCUUCUAAAUGAAAUGUCAAGUUUCAUAUAUUUCAUUCUCAAAUGGAAGUCAAUGACUGACUGUCUGUUAUGCAUAAAGAUUAAAAUUUGGUGACUUACAUGGCAAGGAGUGUGAAGAAAAUAGCCAGUAAGAUGGGCCAAAGGUAGCACUGCCUGUGACAUGGUGAUCUUUUGUUCAGCUUCUCACUCUUUCUAUUUCUGUACCAUACCAUUUUUGCUAAUGAAAAACUUCCAUAGAGAAUUCCACACACAAGCCAUAGCAACCCUGGGACAUAUCCAUAAACCCCUGUAAAUAUAGUUGACUGUAUAAAACAGAACCCAAGUCAGGUUUAUGUACACUUUAUAAUCUUACGUGUAUAUAUUUAUGUUGUACAGGCAGAGGGAGAGAGUAUUAGUGUAUUACACUCCAAUAAUGCUUGUUGGUAAUGUCGUAUCCUCUUCUGUAUUUUUUAAAAUGAUCUAGUGGAUCCACCCUCACUGUAUCAUCUGGCUGAUCCAUGGGAUCAGAUACAUUACUUCUCUGAUCAAUCAAACUACUUCCUAAAGUGAUUUCAAA